AACGUAGGAGGCGAGCGUUAUCCGGAUUUACUGGGCGUAAAGCGCGCGCAGGCGGCUUCGUGAGUCGGACGUGAAAGCUCCUGGCUUAACUGGGAGAGGUCGUUCGAUACUGCGAGGCUUGAGGUUGGGAGAGGGGUGCGGAAUUCCCGGUGUAGUGGUGGAAUGCGUAGAUAUCGGGAGGAACACCAGUGGCGAAGGCGGCACCCUGGCCCACACCUGACGCUGAGGUGCGAAAGCGUGGGUAGCAAACAGGAUUAGAUACCCUGGUAGUCCACGCUGUAAACGAUGUCAACUAGGUGUUGGUGGUGUUACACUAUCAGUGCCGCAGCAAACGCGUUAAGUUGACCGCCUGGGGACUACGGCCGCAAGGCUA
rnacentral:rRNA from 1 species